AGUGAACGCUGGCGGUAGGCCUAACACAUGCAAGUCGAACGGCAGCACAGUAAGAGCUUGCUCUUACGGGUGGCGAGUGGCGGACGGGUGAGGAAUACAUCGGAAUCUACUUUUUCGUGGGGGAUAACGUAGGGAAACUUACGCUAAUACCGCAUACGACCUACGGGUGAAAGCAGGGGAUCUUCGGACCUUGCGCGAUUGAAUGAGCCGAUGUCGGAUUAGCUAGUUGGCGGGGUAAAGGCCCACCAAGGCGACGAUCCGUAGCUGGUCUGAGAGGAUGAUCGGCCACACUGGAACUGGGACACGGUCCAGACUACUACGGGAGGCAGCAGUGGGGAAUAUUGGACAAUGGGCGCAAGCCUGAUCCAGCCAUACCGCGUGGGUGAAGAAGGCCUUCGGGUUGUAAAGCCCUUUUGUUGGGAAAGAAAAGCAGCAGGUUAAUACCCCGCUGUUCUGACGGUACCCAAAGAAUAAGCACCGGCUAACUUCGUG
rnacentral:rRNA from 1 species